AACAGUGGCGGCAUGCCUUACCAUGCAAGUCGAACGGUAACAGGUCUUCGGAUGCUGACGAGUGGCGAACGGGAGUAAUACAUCGGAACGUGCCCGAUCGUGGGGGAUAACGAAGCGAAAGCUUUGCUAAUACCGCAUAAGAUCUACGGAUGAAAGCAGGGGACCGCAAGGCCUUGCGCGAACGGAGCGGCCGAUGGCAGAUUAGGUAGUUGGUGGGAUAAAAGCUUACCAAGCCGACGAUCUGUAGCUUGUCUGAGAGGACGACCAGCCACACUGGGACUGAGACACGGCCCAGACUCCUACGGGAGGCAGCAGUGGGGAAUUUUGGACAAUGGGCGAAAGCCUGAUCCAGCCAUGCCGCGUGCAGGAUGAAGGCCUUCGGGUUGUAAACUGCUUUUGUAUGGAACGAAAAGACUCUGGUUAAUACCUGGGGUCCAUGACGGUACCGUAAGAAUAAGCACCGGCUAACUACGUGCCAGCAGCCGCGGUAAAUACGUAGGGUGCAAGCGUUAAUCGGAAUUACUGGGCGUAAAGCGUGCGCAAGCGGUUAUGUAAGACAGAUGUGAAAUCCCCGGGCUCACCUGGGAACUGCAUUGGUGACUUGUAUAGCUAGACGUCGGCAGAGGGGGAUGGAAUACACGUGUAGCAGAGAAUGCGUAGAUAUGCGGAGGAACACCGAUGGCGAAGGAAACACCUGGACUGUACUAC
rnacentral:rRNA from 1 species